UCUGCAGAUGCAAAAAGGAAGGCAGUUCAGGGCCCUAAUCAGAGGCUUCCUGUCAGGACAAGGCCCUGGCUUCAGCAUUAGCUGCUGCAAGCCUGAAGGGCAGGAUGUGAGCCUGUUGUGGGACUGCCCCCUCCAAGGUCUGAGCCUGUUAACUCGGGGGUCAGCUUCCCCUACAUCUGCAGUCCCUCUGCCGGAGGCCUGAGCUCUCCAUGCCCUGGGCUCUCUUCCGCAGACGGCCUACUCUCAGCGGCCACAGGAGGGCGCUGGAGAACGGACCUGAGCAGAGAGCCAGGAGCUCCACUGCCUGGUCCUCCCAGGCACCACCCCUGCUGGGAGGAAGGCUUGGGAGUCCCCUGAGACAGAUCCUCAGUCACUUCUCUCUGCCUGUGUCUCAGGAAGACCAGCUCCUCCUACUGUCUUCUGUGCUAGGGAUCACUUUCUUGUUGAGUGGCACCUGAGUUUUGAGAGGGUCUUCUGCUCCUCUUCAUCUUGUCCCUUUUCUUUCAAGGUCCCAGAGAGGAAGGCAUGCGGUGGGCCCUAGCCCUGCUUCUAGCUUUCUUGUUUUCUGCCGGUCGGAAAUCUUCCAACUUGGAAGGGAUAACAAAGUCAGUCACCAGGCCAACUGGGUCAUCUGCUGAAAUAACUUGUGAUUUUUCUGGAGACAGUAACUUUUAUAUCCACUGGUACCUACACCAGGAGGGGAAGGUCCCACAACGUCUUCUGUACUAUGACGUCUCCAACUCAAGGGAUGUGUUGGAAUCAGGACUCAGUCCAGGAAAGUAUUAUACUCAUACACGCACAAGGUGGAGUUGGAUAUUGAUACUGCGAAAUCUAAUUGAAAAUGAUUCUGGGGUCUAUUACUGUGCCAACUGGGACAGGCACAGUGAUUCAGACCUGCUAAACACCAUACUGAAAAUCUGCCUUGUGGCUGCUUCUGGUACACAAGAUAGAGCCGCCCCCUCUCAUUUCCUGCCACCAAAUUUACUGUAUGCUGAACAAGAGAAACACAGCUUAACUCCUGACCUCCCCCUAAUAUCACAUUCCCCUGGCAGCAGCUGCCCCCCGUUCGCCACCCUCCCCCAGAACUUUCCUGAAGACCAAGCUGCCAUCUCAGCUAAGCCUCAGCUAAGCAGCCUGGCUGAGAGCAAGGUUCUCUUAGCUCUCCUAGGACAUGGGCAAGGCCCACUCAAUCUGCUACCUAGGACACACAGGUACACCUAGGGUCCAGCUGUGAAGCAAGAUAUUUUGGACAGCAAAUGGGAAGGGUAUUUUUACUGAAUCAUAUAUCCAAUCAUGGUCCAGAUAUCGCAGCUCAGAGUGGUGCUUUUUCCUUAUGUCUGUAACAAUACAAGCGAUACUAAAAUUACCACCAAAAUACCUGGCCUAGAUAUGCAGUUGAACAUUCUCUCCCUCUGCCCUCCCUUUUAUUCUCUCUUUUUCUUCUUUGCUUGCUUUUUUUUUUUCUCCCUUCCUUCCUCCCUCCCUUGCUCCAUCCUUCCAUCCCUUCUUCCCUUGUUUCCUUCCAUCCAUUCUCCUUCUUUUCUUUCCUUCCUUCCUUCUUUACUUUUCUCUCUUUCUUUCCUUUUUCGGGUACAUAAUCAAAAUACUUUUUCCACAAAAUCAUUUGAAAUAAUUUUUCUCUAUUUGUUCGUGCCAACAUUGAUACAGCUACUUUAAUUGUUCAGUUUUCAUUUUUAUAUUUUGGAAGUUUGUUGUGUUACUUUGUUUUGUUUCGUCUUUGUUUUGUGUAUAUAAAACAUUUACAUGGAGCUGAAGUCAAAAUUAUAAAAGAAGAUGGAUUUGAAGAUUUUAACUUCCAUUGUAGAUUUCUUGUUCCUCUUUUCUCACUCAUCCUAUAGGUAACAAUAUUUUUAUCAGUUCACUUGAGCUUUUUCACUCUGUUUUUCAUAGCAGAGAAUGUAUUGCUUCUAUUUCAAUGCCAUAUUUAUAUUUUCAUUCUGAUAUUCCGUUUUUGUACAUUGUAAUCAAUCUUUUAUUUUCCUGUGUCUGGAUUGUGUGUCUGUCUUCUAAAGGUGCAUAUACUUCAUAAGUAUGCAUAAAGAAAUCCAUAUUAU